UAGUCUUCUAUUUUUAUCCUCAGCUAUCAACGCCAUGUUUUCAUAUAUAUCAAAUUCAUCACUUUCCUAUACUGCCUGUAUAAUUUUCAAAACACAGAUUUAUCAUUUAUCAAGCAAGAAUCAUGUCUUCGUCUUUCACUGCGCAUCUUCAAAAUGGUGCGACACGAUUAAGACAUGAAUCUUUACUGAAUUAUUCAAGUCAGUUAUCAAGUUCAAAUUUCAGUUUCAGGUAAUUGACGUUUGAGACGCGUGGAGGGUCGAAUGGGUACAUCAAGUCAUUUUGCAAGUAGUUAAUUUUAAUUGAUUUCAAAUUAUGAUUGAAUUAAUAGUUAAAUAUCUUCAUGGCUCAUUUAUGUCAUGAUUUGGGACAAUGUGUUGAUUGUUGGCUUUAAAUCAAAGUUAGUAUUUGAGUAUAUUAUUUAAAAGUUAGUAUUUUUUUUAAAAUCGUUUUAAAAAGUGUUUUAAAAAUUUAUUUAAAAGUGUUUUAAAGGUUUAUAUCGUUUCAAGGUUUACAUUAUUUAAAUUAUUUUUAGAAUAUAUAUGUACACAUAUAUACAUAUAGACUUCCGCAUUAAAUAUUUAUUUAAAAAUUUAGAAUAGCAUCUUAAUUAGAUUAGGGUGUUAUAACAUGGUAUCAGAGCAGGUCUACUUUCCUGUAGACUCUGCAAACUAAAAUUUCUUAAUGAUUUUAAAAAGUUAUAUGCGACAAUGCCAUUCGACCACUAUGCGCUCCGACUUCAAGGUAAAGGUAUUUCAAAAAAAUUCAAGGGGAUGAGUAUAAAUUGUUUAUAUUUCGAAAUGA